UUGGAGGGCAAGUCUGGUGCCAGCAGCCGCGGUAAUUCCAGCUCCAAUAGCGUAUAUUAAAGUUGUUGCAGUUAAAAAGCUCGUAGUUGAAUUUCGGGAUUAGUACGUCGGUCGUGCCUUAGGUACGUACUGGUGUUACUGGUUCCUACCUUCUGACGAACCAUCAUGUCAUUAAUUUGGUGUGGUGGGGAAUCAGGACUGUUACUUUGGAAAAAUUAGAGUGUUUAAAGCAGGCUCGCGCUUGAAUACAUUAGCAUGGAAUAAUGAAAUAGGACGUUGAUCCUAUUUUGUUGGUUUCUAGGAUUGACGUAAUGAUUAAUAGGGAUAGUUGGGGGCAUUAGUAUUCAAUUGUCAGAGGUGAAAUUCUUGGAUUUAUUGAAGACUAACUACUGCGAAAGCAUUUGCCAAGGAUGUUUUCAUUAAUCAAGAACGAAAGUUAGGGGAUCGAAGACGAUCAGAUACCGUCGUAGUCUUAACCAUAAACUAUGCCGACUAGGGAUCGGAUGAUGUUAUUUUUAAUGACUCAUUCGGCGCCUUACGGGAAAC
rnacentral:rRNA from 1 species